ACUCCUACGGGAGGCAGCAGUGGGGAAUAUUGCACAAUGGGGGAAACCCUGAUGCAGCCAUGCCGCGUGUGUGAAGAAGGCCUUCGGGUUGUAAAGCACUUUCAGUAGGGAGGAAGGUAGUGUAGUUAACACCUGCACUAUUUGACGUUACCUACAGAAGAAGCACCGGCUAACUCCGUGCCAGCAGCCGCGGUAAGUACGGAGGGUGCGAGCGUUAAUCGGAAUUACUGGGCGUAAAGCGCAUGCAGGCGGCCUGUUAAGUCAGAUGUGAAAGCCCGGGGCUUAACCUCGGAAUUGCAUUUGAAACUGGCAGGCUAGAGUCUUGUAGAGGGGUUAGAAUUUCAGGUGUAGCGUGAAAUGCGUAGAGAUCUGAAGGAAUACCAGUGCGAAGGCGGCCCCUGGACAAAGACUGACGCUCAGAUGCGAAA
rnacentral:rRNA from 1 species